CCCUUAGAUGUCCUGGGCCGCACGCGCGCUGCACUGAUGCAUUCAACGAGUAUUUCCUUGGCCGAGAGGCCUGGGCAAUCUUUUAAACCUGCAUCGUGAUAGGGAUAGAUUAUUGCAAUUAUUAAUCUUGAACGAGGAAUUCCUAGUAAACGCAAAUCAUCAAUUUGCAUUGAUUACGUCCCUGCCCUUUGUACACACCGCCCGUCGCACCUACCGAUUGAAUGGUCCGGUGAAAUCUCGGGAUUGUGGCCAGUUCACUUUAUUGGGAGUUGGCUGCGAGAACUUGCUUAAACCUUAUCAUUUAGAGGAAGGUGAAGUCGUAACA
rnacentral:rRNA from 1 species